UAGGUGGUCCUUUUCGGCAUGGGCAUGCGUCGCCGUGCGUGGGUCCGCGGACGGCUCCAUCACGGGGAUGGGCUGUGCCAUGGCACAGGUUGUUAAUCCAGGGACCGUGGAAAUCCAGAGCCGUCAUCCCAUCGUCGUGGCCCCGUCAUUGCGGGGUUGCUCUUGGAUCUCGAGGGAACAAGGGCGGCAUCGAGGACGGCCGGCGGCGUGGUGGGAUGGAGGAGAACGGUGGCGUGGUGGAUCGAGGGCGGCAUCGACGUCCGUAGGUUCCCACUUCGGGAAGCGUUCGCCGAUAACCUUGAGCACCCGGAUCCGAUGCCGCUGAGGCUGCUGCCCCGGGGGGAGGUUGGCGCUCUUGGCCCGGAGGAUUCAAAUGGUGAAUCUGGUUAAUCGGGAGGCACCUGGAUGGACCAAAAGGUUAAGACUAAGGAAUGCACCGCCGGACAGAACUUUGUGCGCUUCAUGGAUGAGCGCACUGGAGCAAUCGAUACGGAAGUUUGACGAGGAACUGACGAAGAGUGUGAUUAAACCAGAAAUAGGAACAAGUUUCGAUUCGUUGGUGAGCCAUACGACUUCUACAGCCUGUAUUCAUGAGAAGUUGGAUUCGGUAUUAGAUAUGGGAAAAGCCGACUGAAUGCAGGAAGAACCAAGUCGACGCAGGAGAUAGUGUGUGGUUGUUCGCUUAGUUCUGUCGUACGAGAUACUAUGUGUGGGUUUCUUUUUCGUGCAGUUUUGGUUCGGAAAAAUGGCUUUGAGUGAGGUGAUGUGUCAUCACUUUUUUGAUUUUUGAGUUCCUAAGAAUGUUGGGAGGAUCGGUUCCUACGACAAUUUUGACUGAUCAAAACAGAGCAAUGGAGGUGGCAAUCAGCCGGAUUUUUCCACAAACUGUGCAUAUGUAGUGCAAGUGGCACAUCUUGAAGAAGGCUAAGGAGUGCAUGAGGACACUGUGCACAAAGAAGAACAAGUUCAGAGCUGAGUUCUAUAAAAUGGCGAACCACAUGCUGACAGUAUAUCUGUAGAUGAGUUCAAGUCAGCCUGGGCUAUGUUGCUUGAUAAAUAUAACCUCAGGUAGCACCUGUACAUGACACAGAUUUAUGAUAUGAGAGAAAAGUGGGCGAAGCCUUAUUUCAAGGGUGUGUUAUGUUCUGGGCUAUGUAGCACAUGAACUGGCAAAAUGGGCCAUAUUUGCCCCUCCUAGUAUUUGGGUAGACUCAGCUCCAGAGGACUUGAUUCACAUGUUCUGUUCUGGGCUAUGUAGCGCAUGAACUGUCAUGAAUGAAUAAAACAGGAGUGAAACUUUUAAAAAAUGGCCGUGUUCUUUGCGAAGAUGACAAGCACCCAAUGGAGUGAGAGGGUGAACCAUAUGCUGAAGAUAUGCGUGCCGCCUGCCAGCCCGAUGCACAUGUUUGUCAGGCAGUAUAUGAGACUUCAGUUUGACAGGGAGGGAGAGGAGAGCUAUGAGGAGAAAAAAAACUAUGAUUGGUGGUGUUGUGAGGAGUACAAACCUUGAGAUCGAGAGACAUGCGAGCAAGUUGUACCCAAGAGCCAUGUUACUGAGCUUGAGAAAGGUCGACAGUAUCUGACAACCCACAAUAAUGCUUCAAAGCGGGAGAGAUUGAGCAGGGUGGUGUACGAGUUCAUGAGUAAGGACAGAGGUUCCCAAUUCGAGUGCGAGUGCGGGCAUUUUGAACACACAGGCAUGCUAUGUUGUCAUGUGAAAGGGAGGACAGUGGCGUGUACAUUGUGCACUACGGCCGCGAGUUCACUGAGUUGUGCCUCCGGUCACCGCUGAGCAGGGUAAGAUGCAAGAACAGCAGCCUGGAAGCCUGGAAGAUGCAAGAACAGCAGCCUUGAAGGUCACUGCCGGUACACCUGCACCACACCAGGCCUCUUGGAGGGCCUCUGUUCUGAAGUGCAUUUGUGUAUUGUGGCGAUUUGAUUUGAGGAUUUUCUAGUGUGUUCGGUGAGCUCUGCUCCACGCUUGUUCCUCUGUAGACUGUAGUUGAAUUCCGGUAAUGUUGUGGCAUUAAUUUAGUUUGCCAUCUGUUCGGACUUUGGAAAAAAAUUGACUGCAUGUCACCAUGCCGUAUGCACUGAUAAGUGUCAUUUGUUCAGACAUGAUUACCACGUGUAAGCUCGUGUGCCUGGGCAGCAGCUGCCGGGGAGAUAUUUAUGAAAGUACAGUGCCUCUGCUUUGGGUC